UGCCGCAUGGCUUAGUUGGCUAUAGCGUCCGACUGUUAAUCGGAAGGUCGAGAGUUCGAGCCUCUCUGGGGCAG
rnacentral:tRNA from 1 species